rnacentral:lncRNA from 1 species
AAAACAACCGAGCCAAAAAUUAAUAACAAAUACGAUAUACACGAAUUUAUUGAUAAAAUGACCGAAUGACACACAAACAUGAUAAAAGUACAUCAGAUUAUCAAUCUUCUACAAACACAAGCAAACAGGUGUUUUCAGUAUUCUUGUAGUUGUAUCAAUGUUCUACACAAACAAGCAAACAGGUGUUCUCAGUAUUCUUGUAGUUGUAUGCAUUCAAGUAUAGGUCAAGCAGUUGGAGAUGCUUUUGCUGCAAGAUGGAUAAGUGCUCGUUUGUGAUAGGUGGUACGGAGUUUUUUGUACUUCAGCACAAAAGACCCAAGAUCUAUCUCCU